rnacentral:rRNA from 1 species
GUGCAGGGCGCGAAUACUUUACAAUGUGCGAAAGCACGAUAAGGGAACUCUGAGUGCCUCCUAAGGAGGCUGUUCAGGUGUCUAAAAGCACCUGGAGUAAGGGCUGGGUAAGACCGGUGCCAGCCGCCGCGGUAACACCGGCAGCCCAGGUGGUAGCCACUUUUAUUGGGUCUAAAGCGUCCGUAGCCGGUUGAGUAAGUUCCUUGGGAAAUUUGGCUGCUCAACAGUCAAGCUUCCAGGGAAUACUGCUCGACUUGGGACUGGGAGAGGUCAGAGGUACUCCAGGGGUAGGGGUGAAAUCCAUUAAUCCCUGGGGGACCACCGGUAGCGAAGGCGUCUGACCAGACCAGGUCCGACGGUGAGGGACGAAGGCUAGGGUCGCGAACCGGAUUAGAUA